AAAGGCACUCAAACGGACCCUAAAGGCUUAUUAUAAUUGUGGGAUUGAUUAUUGGUUGUUAAUUUAUUUAAAAUAAAUGUCCAUUAAAAAAUGAAAUUGUAGCGUAAAAUAUAUCUGCCACUUCGCUUUCAGCCCAACACUUCCAUAGUUCCAUUAGUUAUCUUUUUUAGUUUAAUCCCAGCCCAACAUGUGAUUUGAUUGGUAUUGGCAACAUAUAUAAACAUAAUGUCAAUUACAUAACAAGUAUGCAAAUGCGAAAUCGGUGUAAUAGACAAAUGGUUGGGCUUAGCAAAUUAGGCAUGAAAUAUGUAACAGAUAAAUGGUUGGAUAAUAACAAGCAUAUAUACAAUGUUAAUUGAUAAAUGAUCAAAACAGAUUGAUGAAGAACCAAGAAAAUAGCAUGAAAUAUGGCAGAAUGCAAGAUAAUUCCAAAGCUUAAUUACAGAAAAUUAAUUGAGACAGAGAUCCUCAACAUCAAACCAAGGACUUAAAGUGUUGUCCAAAAAUAAUAAAUCAUAACAAAGCAUACCUCAAUGUCUUGGUUAUCAUCCAGGGUUACUUAUACUGGUAACUUCCUGCAAUCACAAGUAUAACUACUUCAAACUAAUACACCAUUAUGCAAAACUUAUACCACGCUGCCUAUAAGCAAUAUAGAAGUAGAAUGCAAGUGCUCCUGUUCUAGAGCAGUUGAUAAACAACAAAUAGCAAACAGCAGUUGAUUAUACAAACUGUAUUUUGGCGUGACACCUUUUGGACGGCCCUGAAAACCAACAUUAUACAAUAACAAAUCAGAAACUAGGCAACACAUGAUACAUGGCAGUUGAUUUAAUACUAAUAUCACCACAUUAAGCUUGCAAAAUUAAUUUAGUUCACAGUAAGGAUACUUUGGAGACUAGUGCACAGAAAAUAGGAGUAGAUACAAACAAAUUUUCCAACGAAAUUCAACAACAUAUGAUGUAUCUAUGAAAAUCGGAGACACGGUGAAGAUAACAUAGAACUAAUCUAACACAGCCCUAAUAUCAAGCACUAAUAACUACGUGCCUUAUCUGAUCAACCUAGAAAGCGCAAUUAAGCAAGCAAGAUCCACACUCCAACGCACUAACCAAAUCAAAUCUCAAGAUUACAUCUCCAACUUUGAAAAUAUAUAGAAAUGUAAACAUCCGGUCAUACUAAAUAUCCACAACUUAUUCAAAUAAAAAGAAACGAAUCCGAAGAAACAUCUAGUAGCAUAUGUACAAAACAGGUACGAAUACUUCAAAUUUGAUCUACGAAUCAGUAAUAUACCAAGGGCGGCGGCUCCUUGCUA
rnacentral:lncRNA from 1 species